UGCUGCUACAGAAACUUCACCCACAGCUACCAUGACUUUGAUCCCCGUCUUCAUCUGGACACUGAUCCUCUGGACUCAAGAAUGCAGAGGUCAAGCAACAGUAACUCAGACUCCUGCAGUGAAAUCUGUUCUUCCAGGAGAAACAGUCAGCAUCAACUGUAAAACCAAUCAGGCAGUGUACAAGGAUUCACAUGGUGAACGCUUGGCCUGGUAUCAGCAGAAACCUGGAGAAGCUCCUAAACUCCUGAUUAAACUUGCCAAUCAGCUACAGUCGGGUUUUCCAGCUCGCUUCAGUGGCAGUGGAUCUGGAUCUGAUUUCACUCUGACCAUCAGUGGAGUCCAGACUGAAGAUGCAGGAGAUUAUUACUGUCAGAGUUACCAUUAUAUCAGUAGCACAUGGCUGUUCACACAGUGAUAUAGAGUCGUACAAAAACCUCCCUCAGUCAGAUAGUAGAGAAACUGCACUGCUGCAGCUGGGAGCGACUGCAGGUGCUGAGUUACAAGAUGUGAUACGAUGCAAUGACACAACCUCAGUGAGCAUUUGUAUGACUUUAAUUGUUGCUCCAUUACAUAGAGCACAGUGUAGAUACAAAAUGUUGAACUUUGUUCUGUGUAAUUUCAUCACAGCUCUACAUUUGGUAGUACCACACUGUACACACUCCAUCACACCACACUACACAUUCCAUCACAC